CUUCGGUCCUCUUCCUCGAGACUGAACGGUAUACUGCCGGGAAUACUCGAUAUACUGGAUCCCGGAAAGCCUGGAUGCGAUGAGCACGGUGUUCCCGGUUUUGAGAAAUGACAGGACAACAUUCUCAGCUCGUCCUUCGUCGACUUUUGAAAUUACCGAAACGUUGCUUGAGCCUGGUGUCGUUCCAUAUCCACUGGAAGGCAAACUGGCUACGGACCAUCGUCGCCCAUCGGCCGUACCAGAAGCACCGGCACCGAUUCUUUUUUGUUUCGUCAGAGUACAACAUUUGUGGAUUAUUCGAAAUUUCAACGUAAAUACUGAGUGAACUCAAUGGCCAAAGUUAACCUCACGGAUGUUGAUAAUAGAAUACGGACCUGGACGAACAGGAGCUUCUUUGCUAAUAGGCUUAGGAGGCUGGACUUGGCGAGCGGAAGACUCGAGCUCCGCGUUGCCAGGACUCUCGUCAUUUUCUACUUGAUCAAAGACCAAAACUCUGGCUGAAUUACCAUGGGACCUAAGACGAGGCAUGACUAUAAAACGAUAAAAUGGAGCAAAACAAUCCAACUUUUCGAAAUACGUUCGAGAAUAAAUAGAAAUUCUAUUCGACAGCAAAA
rnacentral:lncRNA from 1 species